AUUGAACGCUGGCGGCAUGCUUUACACAUGCAAGUCGAACGGCAGCGCGGGCUCCGGCCUGGCGGCGAGUGGCGAACGGGUGAGUAAUGCAUCUGAACGUGCCCCGUAGUGGGGGAUAGCCCGUCGAAAGCCGGAUUAAUACCGCAUACGACCUGAGGGUGAAAGCGGGGGCCCGAAAGGCCUCGCGCUAUUGGAGCGGGCGAGGUCGGAUUAGAUAGUUGGUGGGGUGAAGGCUUACCAAGGCGACGAUCCGUAGCUGGUCCGAGAGGACGACCAGCCAGGCUAGGACGGAAACACGACCCAGCCCACAACGGGACGCAACAGAGGGGAAUUGUGGACUAUGGAGGGGACCCUAAUCUGACCAAGCCGCGUCGAGUAAGAAAACCUUCGGGUUGUAAUCUGCAUCUGUGCGGGAAGAAAUCCUCUGUACUAAUACCCCAUGUAAAUGACGGUACCGGAAGAAUAAGCACCGGCUAACUACGUG
rnacentral:rRNA from 1 species